UACAGGGGGUGCAAACGUUGCUCGGAAUCAUUGGGCGUAAAGCGCACGUAGGCGGUUCGUUAUGUCGGAUGUGAAAGCCCUUGGCUUAACCGAGGAAGUGCAUCCGAAACUGGCGAGCUAGAGUACCAAAGAGGAUCGCGGAAUUCCCGGUGUAGAGGUGAAAUUCGUAGAUAUCGGGAGGAACACCGGUGGCGAAGGCGGCGAUCUGGGUAGAUACUGACGCUGAGGUGCGAAAGCGUGGGGAGCAAACAGG
rnacentral:rRNA from 1 species